rnacentral:tRNA from 1 species
GAGAAAGUUCGCGAGGACUGCUAACCCAUGUAUCCGUACCUAAAAUUACGGUUUUCUCA